AGGAGUGACAGUACUUUAGGAACAAGCCACGGCUAACUACGUGCCAGCAGCCGCGGUAAUACGUAGGUGGCAAGCGUUGUCCGGAUUCACUGGGCGUAAAGCGCGUGUAGGUGGUUCUGUAAGUAGGGCGUGAAAGCUCCCGGCUCAACUGGGAGAGGCCGUACUAAACUGCAGAGCUAGAGGAUGGUAGAGGGAGGUGGAAUUCCAGGUGUAGUGGUGAAAUGCGCAGAUAUCUGGAGGAACACCAGUGGCGAAGGCGGCCUCCUGGACCAUUCCUGACACUCAGACGCGAAAGCUAGGGUAGCAAACGGAAUUAGAGACUCCGGUAGUCCUAGCCCUAAACGAUGCAGACUAGGCGUCGGCGGUUUAAUCACCGUCGGUGUCCAAGCUAACGCGAUAAGUCUGCCGCCUGAGGACUACGGCCGCAAGGCUAAAACUCAAAGGAAUUGACGGGUCCCCGCACAAGCAGCGGAGCGUGUGGUUUAAUUCGAUGCUCCGCGAAGAACCUUACCUGGGUUUGACAUAACAGUGGUAGAGAAGUGAAAACGGAUCGACCCUUCGGGGAGCUGUUACAGGUGUUGCAUGCCUGUCGUCAGCUCGUGUCGUGAGAUGUUCGGUUAAGUCCGCUAACGAGCGCAACCCGCGCUGUGUGUUACAAGUGUCACACAGUACCGCCGGUAUUAAGUCGGAGGAAGGUGCGGAUGACGUCAAGUCAGCAUGACCUUUAUAUCCAGGGCUACACACACGCUACAAUGGUCAGAACAAUAGGUUGCCAAGCCGCAAGGCGGAGCCAAUCCUCCAAAUCUGGCCUCAGUUCAGAUUGCAGGCUGCAACUCGCCUGCAUGAAGUCGGAGUUGCUAGUAACCGCAGGUCAGCAUACUGCGGUGAAUACGUUCCCGGGGAUUGUACACACCGCCCGUCAAG
rnacentral:rRNA from 1 species